UGCUCAAUAACAAACUCCACCAAUGAGCCAACAGGGAAGCUUUAGGUUUAUUAAAUGUUGCUAUGAAGGUUUCACUGUUUUUCUUUGUGAAUGCAAUGUGCUCCAACUGAAACUUGAAUUAGAACUUAGAAGUAAAUCCUUCCAUUUGUAAGGAUUUAGUUACAUUAAUAACCUCACAAUGUUCUAAUUUUUAUUCCAGUCUUGGUUGGAAAUAGAAUCUCUGUAUUGAUUCAGGUAAAAACUGAACUUCACAGCAUGUUGGAGCAAAACAACCAGAUGAAAACUGUGAUGGUGUUGGAUUGUCAGACCGUAAUGUUGCAGCUCAAAGCAGCUUUUCUAUCUCAGUUCAUUCUGACAUUCAGCUAUAAAUCAACACAGCAGAUGGUGAUCCAUGCUGUGGAAGUCUCACAUCUCCUGAUUUAAUGGAGCUGCUUUACACUUUUUACACUGUUUAUUCACCAACACUUUAUUUAAUAAAAGUCCCAUCUAGUUUUCAUGAGGAAUGUGAUGUUUUAAUUUCUCUGUGAAUAACUGCAGUCUAAUGGAACAGCUGGAGUUGUAACAUCUGUCCUGAUAUUGAUCAUGAAGUAUUGAUCAGAAUACUUAUGGUCAGCAGUCAUCCCUGAAGUUUUACAUUAAAAUCUUUACUUGUGUUGUGAACUUUGGUAAGAAGGAGAAACGUUACCGUUGCCAUGGAUACAUGUUUGUGAUGCUGAAGCAGUGACCAGUUUUUCUGUUUCUUCUCUGGAGAUGCACAAUGAGGGACGUCUGCAGAGACUGAGAAAGAGUCUCACCACAUCCUGACAUGAGGAAAAAGACUUUAUUGAAGACUACAAUGAGAAAAACUAUCAGACAGCAGAUGGCUGCAUUCAAGUCUGUAGCUGCUGAAUUCAUGGAUGAAUCAUCUGGCACUAGAUGAAGACGACCAUCAAACAUCCACGUCAGCUGAUGGAGGUCCAAGAGUCUCACCAAACAAACAACCUACAGAGUGAAGACCUCUAACCUGAUUGGACGGCCUCCUAUUCAGCCACGUGUGAACAAAUGCCUCUAAGUUGAUUUGUUUUCUAAAAUAAAUCUAGUUUGAGUCCUAA